rnacentral:ncRNA from 2 species
CUCUGGAAAGCAGGCGGCAUCAGAAACCGAUGUGCGCCUCGCCGAAGAUGUAAGCAGACCGGUAUCCAAACCGGCUGUGAUUCUUUCAGGCUCCAAGACAGAG